AAUAAUAAAUCCGGCUUCUUUACUCAAAAUUAUCAAAAUUCAUAUCGUGUGUAGAUAAUAUAAAAUUAAAGGAAUUCGAAAAUGUUUGAUUUUCCUAACGAAACUAUAACAGCUCCGUAUCUGCUAAUAUUGGGUAUAUUUGGCUUAUUUUUAUUUUUGGGAACACAGAUUAUACGUGGACUUUAUUAUGAGGGUAUGAAACAAACAAAUGAGAGCUAUAAUUCAGAUGUGAAUACCGUAUGCAUGUGUAAAGUCUGCAGUAAACUCAAAUACCGCUGUUCCAAAAUUAUAGCUUAGCUCAUUUUGAAGAAGGAAAUUAGCUAGUACACAUAAACCAGGAUUAACCCGUAAAGUUCAAAAAUGAUUCGUAAAAGAAAAAGAAAAAUGUUAUGAGAGUGGAUAAUUUUCUAUUCAUAGCGAAAGGUCUCUGAAAAAGAAACGCAGUUAAAAAUCUCUAAUUAUUCUCGCAUGCAAUCAUGACAUUUGUCUUCCUGUAAGAAACGAUUUUUACGGAACGUAACAAACUUUAGGAGGAAAGAUAUUAAUAAAAUAGACAAAUAUAUACCCAGGUUAUGGCAUAAUUUAGACUGGUAUUUAUAUUGAAAUAGAGAAGAACCAUAUCACUAAUGAUUGGAAAUGAGUAAACAAGAGACGAAACGUAUUUAACUAAUUAUUUGGUAUAAACAUAUUUUUGGAGAUCAAU